AAGAAAGUAAGAUCCCUGAGAGAUGAUCAGGUAGAUAGGUCAGGAGUGGAAGUACAGUGAUGUAUGGAGCGGACUGAUACUAAUCGAUCGAGGACUUAACCAA
rnacentral:rRNA from 1 species